GACGAACGCUGGCGGCGUGCCUAAUACAUGCAAGUUGAGCGCUGAAGGUUGGUACUUGUACCAACUGGAUGAGCAGCGAACGGGUGAGUAACGCGUGGGGAAUCUGCCUUUGAGCGGGGACAACAUUUGGAAACGAAUGCUAAUACCGCAUAAAAACUUUAAAAACAAGUUUUAAGGUUGAAAGAUGCAAUUGCAUCACCCAAAGAUGAACCCGCGUUGUAUUAGCUAGUUGGUGAGGUAAAGGCUCACCAAGGCGAUGAUACAUAGCCGACCUGAGAGGGUGAUCGGCCACAUUGGGACUGAGACACGGCCCAAACUCCUACGGGAGGCAGCAGUAGGGAAUCUUCGGCAAUGGACGAAAGUCUGACCGAGCAACGCCGCGUGAGUGAAGAAGGUUUUCGGAUCGUAAAACUCUGUUGGUAGAGAAGAACGUUGGUGAGAGUGGAAAGCUCAUCAAGUGACGGUAACUACCCAGAAAGGGACGGCUAACUACGUG
rnacentral:rRNA from 1 species